ensembl:misc_RNA
GGCUCUGUCCUCCUGGACAUGCCGAGAGCCUGCCUGAUCCUGGGUCCUGCUGCUGGAGGCGACCACUUCGCCUGGUCCCCGAGCGUC